rnacentral:tRNA from 1 species
AUUUAUUAAUUUAAUUAAUUUAAUUAAUUUUAUAAAUUAUUUCGAAAACAAUUUCAUUAAUUAU